rnacentral:misc_RNA from 1 species
GGAAAAUUUUUUUUUUUUUUGAAAUUAGAUGGUUUAGUUUUCAGAGUGCAUGUGAAUUCAAGCUCUCACAAGUGACUCCCCAGUUCUGAUUAAAAUUGAAUUUCCUUUCUGCUUAAAAAGGAUUUUACACUCUUGUUAUUUUAAUGCGCUUUUUACCUGUAUUUGGAUCUUAAUUUAAUGGUUUGAACAAAUUUGAAUUCAAAUUUCAAAAUUUGUUUAUGCUUUGCUUGUUGAUUUCAAGUUGCACUUCUUUCCUUUUAAAAAUUGCUUGUCUCCUCAUCUGGCUGUUGUGGGCUAUUAAUAUGUUGUGGUCUUGUCGAAUUGGAGUUUGCGAAUAUAUUUUUUAGCUGCUGCAAGAGCUCUUGUCGUCAACAUUUGUGCUUUACAAACCUUUAGCUGAAGACCUUGCUUGAUGGCCUAUCCAUGAGUCUUUGACCUUUGUUCCCAAAGAGUUGAUACUGAUUUCCUACCCUUUGGUAACUAUGGCUUUUAUGGAAAUGGCGUGGUUCUGUUUUGAUAUU